UACGUAGGGGCCUAGCGUUGUCCGGCUUUAUUGGGCGUAAAGAGCUCGUAGGCGGUUCGGUAAGUCAGGUGUGAAAUCUCCACGCUCAACGUGGAGGCGCCACCUGAAACUGCCGUGACUCGAGUCCGGUAGGGGAGUGUGGAAUUCCCGGUGUAGCGGUGAAAUGCGCAGAUAUCGGGAGGAAAACCAGUGGCGAAGGCGGCAAUCUGGGCCGGUACUGACGCUGAGGAGCGAAAGCGUGGGGAGCGAACAGG
rnacentral:rRNA from 1 species